AUUGAACGCUGGCGGCAGGCCUAACACAUGCAAGUCGAGCGGAAGAAGGGUGCUUGCUCCUGGUUUCGGCGGCGGACGGGCGGGUGAUGCAUAGGAAUCUGGCUGGCUGCUGGUUCUAACGUGCUGACACGGGCGAUCAUACGGCAUUAGCCCUGAGGACGUACGGGUGGGAUCAUCGGACCUUCCGACCUUGGGUGAGCCUAUGUCGGAUUAGCUAGUUGGCGGGGUAAAGGCCUACCAAGGCGACGAUCCGUAGCUGGUCUGAGAGGAUGAUCAGCCACACUGGAACUGAGACACGGUCCAGACUCCUACGGGAGGCAGCAGUGGGGAAUAUUGGACAAUGGGCGAAAGCCUGAUCCAGCCAUGCCGCGUGGGUGAAGAAGGCCUUCGGGUUGUAAAGCCCUUUUGUUGGGAAAGAAAAGCAGUAGGUUAAUACCCUGCUGUUUUGACGGUACCCACAGAAUAAGCACCGGCUAACUUCGUG
rnacentral:rRNA from 1 species